rnacentral:miRNA from 1 species
AGUGGAGAACAGAAGCUUUGG